rnacentral:rRNA from 1 species
AGAGUUUGAUCCUGGCUCAGGACGAACGCUGGCGGCGUGCUUAACACAUGCAAGUCGAACGGAAAGGCCCACCACCUUGGUGGUGGGUACUCGAGUGGCGAACGGGUGAGUAACACGUGGGUGAUCUGCCCCGCACUGUGGGAUAAGCCUGGGAAACUGGGUCUAAUACCACAUACGACCAUGGCGUAGGGGUCAUGGUGGAAAGCCUUGUGCGGUGUGGGAUGAGCCCGCGGCCUAUCAGCUUGUUGGUGGGGUAAUGGCCUACCAAGGCGGCGACGGGUAGCCGGCCUGAGAGGGUGGACGGCCACAUUGGGACUGAGACACGGCCCAGACUCCUACGGGAGGCAGCAGUGGGGAAUAUUGCACAAUGGGCGCAAGCCUGAUGCAGCGACGCCGCGUGGGGGAUGACGGCCUUCGGGUUGUAAACUCCUUUCGCCCGGGACGAAGCCCACCUGGUGGGUGACGGUACCGUGGAGAAGAAGCACCGGCUAACUACGUGCCAGCAGCCGCGGUAAUACGUAGGGUGCAAGCGUUGUCCGGAUUUACUGGGCGUAAAGAGCUCGUAGGUGGUGUGUCGCGUCGUCUGUGAAAUUCCGGGGCUUAACUCCGGGCGUGCAGGCGAUACGGGCACGACUAGAGUGCUGUAGGGGUAACUGGAAUUCCUGGUGUAGCGGUGAAAUGCGCAGAUAUCAGGAGGAACACCGAUGGCGAAGGCAGGUUACUGGGCAGUUACUGACGCUGAGGAGCGAAAGCAUGGGGAGCGAACAGGAUUAGAUACCCUGGUAGUCCAUGCUGUAAACGGUGGGCGCUAGGUGUGGGCUGUGUGUUUGCAGUCUGUGCCGUAGCUAACGCAUUAAGCGCCCCGCCUGGGGAGUACGGCCGCAAGGCUAAAACUCAAAGGAAUUGACGGGGGC